GCACUGCUGAGGAGUCCCACGAUCAGACGAAACGGCCGUCCAGUGC
rfam:Schistosoma haematobium scaffold3_28, whole genome shotgun sequence.